rnacentral:rRNA from 1 species
CGGGGUAGGAGUAACGCGUGAGGAACCUGCCUCAAAGAGGGGGACAACAGUUGGAAACGGCUGCUAAUACCGCAUAAGCCCACGGCUCGGCAUCGAGCAGAGGGAAAAGGAGCAAUCCGCUUUGAGAUGGCCUCGCGUCCGAUUAGCUAGUUGGUGAGGUAAUGGCCCACCAAGGCAACGAUCGGUAGCCGGACUGAGAGGUUGAACGGCCACAUUGGGACUGAGACACGGCCCAG